rnacentral:rRNA from 1 species
AUUGAACGCUGGCGGCAUGCCUAACACAUGCAAGUCGAGCGUGCGUCGCACGGGUGUGUAAUGUCUGUGAAACUGCCUGAUGUCGGGGGAUAACUACUGGAAACGGUAGCUAAUACCGCAUACCCUCAGAUGUGCCCAGAUGGGAUUAGCUGGUAGGUGGGGUAACGGCUCACCAAGGCGACGCUCCCUAGCUGGUCUGAGAGGAUGACCAGCAACACUGGAACUGAGACACGGUCCAGACUCCUAGGGGAGGCAGCAGUGGGGAAUAUUGCACAAUGGGCGAAAGCCUGAUGCAGCCAUGCCGCGUGUGUGAAGAAGGCCUUCGGGUUGUAAAGCACUUUCAGCGGGGAGGCGGUACCCGCAGAAGAAGCACCGGCUAACUCCGUGCCAGCAGCCGCGGUAAUUC